GCCCAGGGUAGCUCAGUUGGUAGAGGAUGAGAAACCCUGAGGUUGUGAGUUCAAGCCCCACGUUGGGCG